GACGAACGCUGGCGGCGUGCCUAAUACAUGCAAGUAGAACGCUGAAGAGAGGAGCUUGCUCUUCUUGGAUGAGUUGCGAACGGGUGAGUAACGCGUAGGUAACCUGCCUUGUAGCGGGGGAUAACUAUUGGAAACGAUAGCUAGUACCGCAUAACAAUGGAUGACACAUGUCAUUUAUUUGAAAGGGGCAAUUGCUCCACUACAAGAUGGACCUGCGUUGUAUUAGCUAGUAGGUGAGGUAAUGGCUCACCUAGGCGACGAUACAUAGCCGACCUGAGAGGGUGAUCGGCCACACUGGGACUGAGACACGGCCCAGACUCCUACGGGAGGCAGCAGUAGGGAAUCUUCGGCAAUGGGGGCAACCCUGACCGAGCAACGCCGCGUGAGUGAAGAAGGUUUUCGGAUCGUAAAGCUCUGUUGUAAGUCAAGAACGGGUGUGAGAGUGGAAAGUUCACACUGUGACGGUAGCUUACCAGAAAGGGACGGCUAACUACGUGCCAGCAGCCGCGGUAAUACGUAGGUCCCGAGCGUUGUCCGGAUUUAUUGGGCGUAAAGCGAGCGCAGGCGGUUUGAUAAGUCUGAAGUUAAAGGCUGUGGCUCAACCAUAGUUCGCUUUGGAAACUGUCAAACUUGAGUGCAGAAGGGGGGAGUGGAAUUCCAUGUGUAGCGGUGAAAUGCGUAGAUAUAUGGAGGAACACCGGUGGCGAAAGCGGCUCUCUGGUCUGUAACUGACGCUGAGGCUCGAAAGCGUGGGGAGCGAACAGGAUUAGAUACCCUGGUAGUCCACGCCGUAAACGAUGAGUGCUAGGUGUUGGAUCCUUUCCGGGAUUCAGUGCCGCAGCUAACGCAUUAAGCACUCCGCCUGGGGAGUACGACCGCAAGGUUGAAACUCAAAGGAAUUGACGGGGGCCCGCACAAGCGGUGGAGCAUGUGGUUUAAUUCGAAGCAACGCGAAGAACCUUACCAGGUCUUGACAUCCCGAUGCUAUUUCUAGAGAUAGAAAGUUACUUCGGUACAUCGGUGACAGGUGGUGCAUGGUUGUCGUCAGCUCGUGUCGUGAGAUGUUGGGUUAAGUCCCGCAACGAGCGCAACCCCUAUUGUUAGUUGCCAUCAUUCAGUUGGGCACUCUAGCGAGACUGCCGGUAAUAAACCGGAGGAAGGUGGGGAUGACGUCAAAUCAUCAUGCCCCUUAUGACCUGGGCUACACACGUGCUACAAUGGUUGGUACAACGAGUUGCGAGUCGGUGACGGCGAGCUAAUCUCUUAAAGCCAAUCUCAGUUCGGAUUGUAGGCUGCAACUCGCCUACAUGAAGUCGGAAUCGCUAGUAAUCGCGGAUCAGCACGCCGCGGUGAAUACGUUCCCGGGCCU
rnacentral:rRNA from 1 species